UUUGAUUGCCUUGCUGAUUGUAGCUGAUUACUAUUUAUUGGUGCUUUUUUAUUCUUUUGUUUUUAUUUUUCUUUGUUGUUCCCUUUUACAUUAUGCUUACUGAUCAGUAUUCUAUCAAACCUGUGCUACUUAUAUCUUGUAUGCAUCGAAGUAAGUUUUAUUUUCCACUUUGUAAUGUAACCAUUUUGAAAUGUAAUAUAUAGCGCAAUAUGACCUGAAUUUGUGUUAAUGAUUUGAAAUGUGACUAAUAGAAGUAUUGCCUCACAGAUUGGAUUUUCUGCUGUAUGUACGUAUGAAUGCAUGCAUGCACCUAUAUUACAGUUGAUCAUUUCCAUGACAUCCCUCAACUAUGUUGAUCAUUCUUUCUGUGGGCAAAAUUUAUAUGACAUGUUUACCAUUUGACAGGUCGCAGGAUUUUGUUGCAUUUUGAAGCUGUUGAUUCUGCAUUCUGUGCAUGGCUAAAUGGGGUCCCAAUAGGAUAUAGGUAAUAAAUACUUGUAAGAACUUUUGGGAAUUAUCAUAAUUAUCCUGUAGGUGGAUGCUUUUAUGCUAUACCUUAUGUCAUACUUCCAUUCAUGGAGUCUUCUCAGCGUGUGUUACUGUUUUCUGAACAUAUGCAUUUUACAUGGAAUUUAUCUCAGUCAGGUAUAUGUUGACAGAUUAAGAUUGCGCACAUUUGUGAAUAAGAGAUACGGAGAGUGAGUUUAAGAUGCUCAUGGAGGAUCUUCUUUCGCAAUCUACUAUUUUUCACUUUUCUCUUUCGCAACAUAAAAAUUAAAAGUUAAAUAUAAAAUGCAAAAAGAGAGAGUAACCCACAUGGAAUAUAAAGAACAUAAAGUCCCCAACUCUUAAAGCUGAGUAUGGAUACUGUUUUGAUGCUGAUAAAUAAUUUAUCAAGUAAAUACAAUAAUGUAUAUUGUGCUGAGAGUCUUUUGCUACCAUAUGGUUUAGCAAGAAAAGGGGCAUUUAAUUGUUAAUACUUAAAAUGAGCAUGGUGAGUAUGACAUGGCUCAGUUAUACUAAUUACCAAUCUUUGAACAUAGCUUCCUUUUUUUUUACUUUCCCUUUUUUCUGUUAAUGUAUUGUUUAUCAUACCAAGAAUAUGUAUUAGCCUUGAAAGGAACUUUCUUUAAUAAAUGGUCCAGCCACUGAAUGAUCUGACUUAAAUAUUUUGUUUCUUUUUGGUGGUGGGGAAAUUCUUGGGAAGUUUCAAUUUGAAUUAUUUGAUGGUUGUUUAAUCAGUUAGGAAUUCGGAUGUUAGUAGAGUCUUGUUUACUUUUUCACAAGUAGAAAAUGAAUCCUAAGCAUUUGAGAUGGUCAUAUGUGCACUUGUCGGUUUUGUAACCUGUAUCACCAAGUACAUACAACUAUAUCAAAUUGAAGAUUGUUUUCCGCUUAUAAGGGAUGCAUGGUUUGGUAGGAAUCCCCUGUGAGGUAUGUUAACAAACUUUUCAAUAUCGUGCUUGGUCAGUCAGGACAGUAGACUUCCUGCUGAAUUUGAAAUCACUGAUUAUUGUUAUCCAUCUGAUAUGGACAAGAAAAAUGUACUAGCUGUUCAAGUAUUCAGAUGGAGUGAUGGCUCCUACCUUGAAGAUCAAGAUCAUUGGUGGUUAUCUGGCAUUCAUCGUGACGUGCUUCUUCUUUCCAAGCCACAGGUCUUUAUUGUCUUCUUUCUUGCCUUUAUAUCCUCUCUUUUAAUUACAAUUGGACUAUAUGCAAUUGGUACAUCUUGGAAUUAGUACAUAAUUGGUGACUGGGGACAAGCAUGUAUACAUUGAUGAUUUGCAUGGCUACUUUUCUAUCAUAGGAUCACUCCAUCUCUUUGCAAGUCAUUAUUGUUCUUCCUUUCCCAUUUUGCAAAAUCGACACAUUGGAGGCAAAGAAUUAGGACAGGUAAUGCUAUAAUAUGUGUAUGGAAAUAUGACCUAGUUCUUCAAUGUUCUAAGCCAUAUUUUAUUUUGAUUACACAUAUAGAUUAUCUAAAUUAUUUCCUUAUUCUUUAACGUAAACUGGUAAUGUGCUGCUACCUGUACUGGAGCAUUGCAUAAUAUUAAAUCCUAAAAAAUAACUGAUGUGCAGGUAUUCAUUGCAGACUACUUUUUCAAAUCAACUCUGGCUGAGGAUUUUUCUUAUGCAGACAUACAGGCAAGCAUUUAUCAAUCGAGGAUGGAUCUUUUUGUUUUUACAAAGUAAUAAGUGUAAACAAUAUUUUGCAGUUUUGUCUAGAUGGUUGACCUCUUGCACAUAACUGGACAAUAAUUUGUAAGCCAUUGAAUCAUAUGAUAAACUCGAAAAACAAUAAAGGAUACAGGAAAUGUCUUAUGUGCUUAGGUUAGAGAAAUUCCUGUCUGUUAAUGGUUUUUAUUCGUACUAUCUGAUUAUAUGUGCAUGUGCUCAGUUUUUUUCUUCUUUUGAGUAUCGCAGUGUCUGUUAAUGUAGACUGUCAUUGAUUUAUCAGUCAAGAUUUUGGAAUCUACCCUUAUAUCAAUGUGCAAUAUGAUGGGAUUAUGUUAUCUUCUCAGUGCUAUUGCUCUACAUUGAAAAAUUUUUAAAAUAUUGUUGUCUUGCACUUUUGACCAGGUUGAAGUGAAAAUAGAUAACUCCAGAGAAACAUCUAAAGAUAGCGUUCUUGCAAACUAUGUUAUAGAAGCUGCAUUAUUUGACACUGCGUGCUGGUACAGCAUUGAUGGAUAUGGUGACCUGCACUUGUCUUAUGUGGCUAGUAUAAAGCUUAAUCUCUCAUCCAGCACGAGUCUGGGGUUUCAUGGUUAUUUGCUGGUAGGGAGACUAGACAUGCCGAGGCUUUGGUCUGCAGAGCAAGUGAGGAAUUAUUAUUUUUUGUUGCUUCCUAGUUUGUUCCUAAGCUAAAACCCUUUUAAGCAAUAUAUACUUUCUUGCUUAGUGAUAUUCUCAACUUUGUUGAGUCAUUGGAGUUACCAAAAAUGUCUGUCAAGUGCUGGAAGCACCCUGGCACUGGGAAUAUUUUAGGGUGCUGCACCGUUUAACCUAAUGUGUAUGUUUGUGUGUGCUGCACCGCUUUGUUUAUAUAACAUAGUUUGCUUUUCUCUUCUAGACAUGUGGGAAAAAUUGGUCAACUGUAAAUAUCAUAUCUUGCUAAAUUAUAACAGUCUAAGAGUAAUUAGAUUUUUCUCAUUCAUAUGACUCCAGAGUUUGUGAAAAUUUCUUUUUAACUUAAAUUUAAUUCCUUAAAAGACCAUGGUCGAGUCUUCUUUCUACCUUGAGCUUCAAUGGGCUGAUAUUGUGAAUACUACGUAGGUGACUAGAAACUUUCCCCUUUACCUAAGAUUAGCUAGCAUUAAGGGUUAGUCAAGUCAUGUUGAAAGUAUGGCUUUGGUACUUUCUUGCUCCAUAUAAGCAUAAAGUAGAUGGAUGACUCAAACAUAAUAGUAAGAAAAGAAGUUUUGAGAAAAACAAAAAAUAUACAUUAGAUAAAUCAUGAUAUGAAACUAAAAUUUUUGUGGCCCCAUUAACAAGAAGUAUCUAAAACCUUGCAUUGUACAUUUGGUGGUUUUUUUUUUUUUUCUUUUUCCUUCUUAUGGGCAAACGCUAAAGUAUUGUACAUUAUCUUGGGAAAAGAAUAUUAAAGUAUUCAAUCAUAUGGUUUAUUAUCACGAUGUAACACAGUGUUCUCGGUUAUUAAUUAGAUGUUUUUAUCUUCUCAUCUUUCAUAUAAGAUCAAACAGUUUCUUGAGGAAGAUAGAAGGAAAGACAAUAAGUUCUCUGAAGAAUUUCAGGAAAAUUUUUGAGCAGAAAAUUCAAAAUUUUCUAGGAAAAUUCUGCAAAAUUUUCUGCUGUUUGGUGGAUUUAGAGAAGUACUUUCAAGAGAAUAUUUUCUUCAUUUAGCAGCAAACUUUGUGUCUUUUAAUACCAUUUCCUUGAGCAACUUGAAAAUGUAAUGCUUUUGGUGAUUGCUUUACUAAUGUUAAAUUAUGUGAAUCUAGGGUUUAAAUUUAUCUGCUCUCAUUCCACUUCUUUAUUAUGCCUGUUCUUCAAAGGGAAAAUAUGAUGAUUAAAAAGGGAAAGCGCAAUGGUGGGGAAGAGUGGAAGUGGUACAAUUCACUUGUUCGAAAAUAAAAAAAAAAUUAUGACCAGAUUUUAGAGAUUCAAUAAGAAAUAAAGAUUGCAGGCUAUCUAUUUAAUGUUGUUGACUGAUGAUUCGUUUCCCAGAGUUUAUGUUACAGUAUUUGCUUUUGAACUCUUUUCCUGUGUCCAACAUACAUAUUUCAUAACUGAUUGUUUACCGUGUGCAGCCAAGCCUGUACGCUCUUGCUGUUACAUUGAAAGAUGCAUCUGGCAACCUUCUGGACUGUGAAUCAAGCCUGGUAGGCAUACGGCAAGUAUCAAAAGCCCCCAAACAGCUGCUUGUUAAUGGGCAUCCAAUAAUAAUAAGGGGUGUGAACAGGCAUGAGCAUCAUCCACGUCUGGGGAAGACAAACAUAGAAUCCUGCAUGGUUAAGGUAACACAUACUUUACUUCUCCUUGUCUGUUCUCUGCUAGCCAAGUUGAUUUGCAACUGGAGUUGAUGGUUCUUGGAAUUUUAAUCACUAUUCUGUGUACAGGAUUUGGUUUUAAUGAAGCAAUACAAUAUCAAUGCUGUGAGAAACAGUCAUUAUCCCCAACAUCCUCGUUGGUACGAGCUCUGUGAUUUGUUUGGCAUGUACAUGAUAGAUGAAGCCAAUAUUGGAACCCAUGGUUUUGAUCUUUCUGAUCAUGUGAAGCAUCCUACUUUGGAACCCAGCUGGGCUACUGCAAUGAUGGACCGUGUGAUAGGCAUGGUUGAGAGAGACAAAAAUCAUGCUUGCAUUAUCUCUUGGUCCUUAGGGAAUGAAGCUGGAUAUGGACCUAAUCAUUCUGCUUUAGCUGGUAAACUGCUGUUCUUUUAUCAUAUCCAUAUUUUUGUCCAGCUUUGAAGGAACUUUUAGAAAAUGUUAUUACUUUGUACUUGUUCGAGAAUUAUUGGUUCACCUCGACAUAUUUCACCUAGAAGAUAUAUUCAUUUUACAUAAGUAGACAAUGGGAAUCAUUUUGCGGCUUUAGUAAGUUACCUUGAAAUGAUGGUGAUGGAUUUGGGUUCAAAAUUUUGAAAAUAAGGAAGUGAUGGUCAGAACUGGCGUUCAUCUUGGAAUGGGCCUUAUUUUAGGGAAAGUGAAUAUUUUCAAAAGAAAGAAGCAUGCACUCUAAUUUUGAGUAAUUGAUAUAUAAUUAAUUAUAAUAAAGUUGAGUAAGUAAGUUAACAUCACCUUUUUCUAUAAUUUGGGCAAUAUUCUAUCUUUGUAUUUUAUUUUUCAUUUUAAAAAAUGUUAGUGUUUCUUAUGAAAAAUUGUUAUUAUUAUUAUGAUCAACCUCAAAAUUUUUAACAGUAUAAUUGAAGUUGCGUGUAAGGCAUCUCUUUCCCUCCCCCCCGGGUUUCUUAUCACUCAUUGUUUUCAAGACUUGUUCACCUGAAUUUCGGCUGGGUUCGUGGAAAGGAUCCCUCACGGCUGGUACAUUACGAAGGGGGUGGAUCCAGAACCUCAUCCACAGAUAUUGUAUGUCCCAUGUAUAUGCGGGUCUGGGACAUGAUGAAGAUUUCGAGAGAUCCAAAUGAAACACGCCCUUUGAUAUUGUGCGAGUAUGUAAAUUUUUUCACUUUUCCCCUUUUAUUAUUGUUUGAGCAAAGUUUGUUGGUUUACCAUUAUUCCCAAUGUUCGAAGAUGAGUCAAAUGUUAUUUAUAUUCUGGCACUUCUCACCUUUGGGCCCCUCCACCAAUAGAGUCCAACAUGUGAAAUUCAACUUAUAUAGGGAGGUUGAAACCAAUCCCAAAAAAAAAAAAAUUAGGUUGCAGUUUUUGCUCUACACCUUUAUCAGGAUCUCUUGCUCUAAUACCGUGCAAAAGUUUGUUGCUUUACCACUGCUCCCAAAUUCUUAAGCUAUUAGAAUUUGGGCCAAAUGUAUUCUAACCUGCUAAUUUAUUUUGUAAAGUUAUACAAGAUACCUCUGUUUAUGCUCAUGGCAAUGCAAAUUUCUUCACUUAAAAGUUUGAGAAAAUAAUGGCAGGUAUUCACAUGCAAUGGGAAACAGCAAUGGGAAUUUACAUGAAUAUUGGGAAAGAAUUGAUAGCACAUUUGGUCUUCAAGGAGGCUUUAUCUGGGAUUGGGUUGAUCAGGUCAAGUAUCCUUGCUGUUCAUAAGAAAUGCACUGAUGAUUUAUCAACAUUCCAUUAAAUAUUGAGUUUCAAGCCAUCUUACACUCUUGAAACCCCUUUACUUUAAUUUAUUGGGCAUAACCACAUAACAUCAACAUAAAAUUGAACCUGGUAAAUAUCAUCAUCAUUUUCUUCUUCUUAUCCCCCAACCACCAACCACCAACCACCAACCCCUAACCUCUCUCUCUCUCUCUCUCUCUUGCUCACACGAAAUCUCUGUUGUUCAGGACCAGAAAUUGCAUCAGGGGGUAAUAGAUUUUCUCUUUUUAUAUAGGCCCUAUUGAAGGAUAAUGCAGAUGGUAGUAAGCAUUGGGCAUAUGGGGGUGACUUUGGUGAUGUUCCUAAUGAUUUAAACUUCUGUUUGAAUGGCCUUAUAUGGCCAGAUCGAACUCCUCAUCCUGCACUGCAUGGUAAGUUGAUGAUUUAUGUUAUACUUACAAGUACCUCUGUCCUUUUAGUUCUUUAAGAUAAUAUUUGUAUGUCAUUUUUUAAUUUAUUUUCAUGUCUCAUUUCUUUGGUUAUUGUUUUCAGAAGUCAAGUAUGUGUACCAACCAAUCAAGGUUUCAUUUAGCAAAGAAACACUAAGGGUAAGUUUCACAUAGUAUUUGCUUUCAUUUUAUUUUAUUAUUUUCCGGAAUACUUCUUUACCUGAAAUACACCUUGCAGAUAACAAAUACCCACUUUUAUAAAACAACACAAGGAUUGGAGUUCAGCUGGGAUGUUCAUGGGGAUGGAUGCAAACUUGGAUCCGGAAUUCUACCUUUUCCGUUGAUUGAACCUCAGAAGAGUUAUGAUAUUAAGUGGCGGUUAGCUCUGUGGUAUCCUCUAUGGACUUCAUCAUCUGCAGAGGAGUAUUUUUUAACAAUAACAGCUAAGCUUUUGCGUUCCACACGCUGGGUUGAAGCUGGUCAUGUUAUCUCAUCUACCCAAGUCCAGUUGCCUUCCAAAAGAGAAAUUGUUCCUCACGUAGUUGCUUUUGCUUAAUACCCACUUUGACAAUAAGAAUGAAGUUUACAUGUUUUGUCAUAUAAAAACAUUUUUACAAUUGGCCUUGAUUUCCAGGUCAUCAAGACUGAAGAUGCUACGUUUGUCAGUGAAACUCUUGGGGAUAAAAUUAGAGUCAGCCGACAUAGCUUUUGGGAGAUCAUAUUGAGUGUUCAAACGGGCACAGUUGACAGCUGGACGGUAUUUUACACCAUUGUUAUUUUCAUUUUUUUUGUUGAUAACACAUUUUUCUUUAUAAAACCAAAGUUAUUUUAAGAAUGAUUUGCCACCAGGUUUUAUGAUUGUAGUUGCCUGGUUAUUGUUCUAUUUUCUGUUGGGAUAAGCAUUGUAUGAUUUCUUUUUUGUUCCUAAGGAUGUUCCGUCUCAUGUAGAUUGAGGGUUGCUUAUUUGUUGACGACCGUUCGCUUUGAUUGUACUUCUCAAUUUCAUUAAUAUUCAUUUUGUUUCCUAUUUAAAAAAAUGGUAGGUCGAAGGAGUUCCUUUGAUGACGAAAGGCAUAUUUCCAUGCUUCUGGCGAGCAUCAACAGAUAAUGACAAAGGAGGAGGUGCCAGUAGUUAUUUCUCCUUAUGGAAAGCUGCUCAUAUUGAUAACCUUCAUCAUAUUACCCAAAGCUGUUCUAUACAGAAUAAGACGGACCAUCUUGUGAAAAUAGUUGUGGCUUUUCAUGGUGUUCCAAAGAGUGAGGAUGCUUUAUAUAAGAGGAAAAAGAUAAAAAUUGAAGUUGAUGUGAUUUACACAAUUUACGGUUCAGGAGAUGUUGUUGUUGAAUGUAAUGUAAGACCAAGUUCGAACCUUCGACUUCUGCCGCGUGUGGGAGUUGAGUUCCAUUUGGAUAAGUCAAUGGAUCAGAUUAAGUGGUAUGGAAGAGGACCAUUUGAAUGUUAUCCAGACAGAAAAGCAGCUGCUCAUGUUGCAGUCUAUGAGCAGAAAGUGGAUGACAUGCAUGUCCCUUAUAUAGUUCCUAUGGAAUGUUCAGGUAGGGCAGAUGUUAGAUGGGUGACAUUCCAAAACAAGGAUGGUUUCGGAAUAUAUGCAUCAGUGUAUGGCAGCUCUACGCCUAUGCAAAUAAAUGCAAGUUACUACACCACAGCUGAGCUUGAUCGGGCAACGCAUAAUGAAGAUCUUAUCAAAGGAGAUGACAUUGAGGUAAUUUAUUCUACAUCAUCAAUCCAUAUCUUUCAUUUCAGUACCAGUAGAUUGUUUCUGGACAUCCAUUAUGAGUAAUAUACAGAGGAUGGUUUAUGGUUUAGGGUCUAGGGUAUAUGGUUUACUGUGUUACAGGUUCAUCUUGAUCACAAGCACAUGGGCCUGGGUGGGGAUGAUAGUUGGUCGCCCUGCGUCCAGCACGAGUAUCGGGUUCAUGCUGAUCCAUACUCAUUUUCAAUUAGGCUGUGCCCGAUAACCCCUGCAACCUCUGGCCAAGUCAUGUACAAAACUCAACUUCAAAAGUAGUAGACAUGAUGGGCUCGAGAACUUGGUAAUGAGUACUGAGUGAUUGACAAUGUAUGUGGCCAUGAAUAAGAUGGCUAGCUCAUUUGCAACAAAUAAUAUAAAGGCAAAACUUAUCAGUCUGUAAUAUUCUGAUUAUGAAACAUUUGUAUUUAAUAGUGCUUUUGUCUGAAGCAUUUUAGUGGUGGAUCAUGCCUACUACAAUCAAUCUAAGAAAUUUAGUACUUUCCCUCCUAUUUGUCACUUUACUUAACAUGCCUACUAAAGUCAGUCCUAAAGAUACUGCAGUCAAAUUUAUGAUUGAGUGUGCUCUGCCUCCUUAUAUUUUUUGGCAAUAUUUUCAUGUAGUUUUAUUUAAGUAUGUAUGUAGGAAUGUCAUGUAUUGCCCACUCCUUUAGUCCAUGUUGAUUCAUCAUAUUCUGGAAAGUGAAUAAGUAAACAGAAUUCAUUUAUUUCUUUAAAUGCCUUCCGCAAGUUGCUACCUAGAAUAAGUGUUGCCUUUGCUGAAAUAUUUUUAUUACUGUGUAGCUCCUUGAUGCAUAAUUUGGGGUAACUAUGCAACCUUCCGGUUUAAUAUUAGUUAGAUAUCCGAUGGGUGAUCCGGUCAAAGAGGGUCAACAGCUCCAGAACAAAAUUGGUGAAGCUUUACCACCUACGUAGCAUUUUGUUUUUAUCAAACUUGUUGAUUUAGCUAAAUCAUUGAGAGAGAGAGAGAGAGAGAGAGAGAGAGAGAGAGAGAGAGAGAGAGAGAGAGAGAGAGAGAGAGAGAGAGAGUUUGACAUAUUAUGUGGUCUCCAUGUCAUUGACAAAAGAAAUUGGAUUUGGCAUGUAUUAUAUAUAUUGCUUUCGUUUUUUAGUGGUAUAAAACUAAUGUGUGACAGUGUGUUUGGUGUAAUAUUUAUGUAUUCUUACGUCGCAGAUAUAACAAUCAGCUUUCUGGUUUUUUCUUUGAAUCGAUAAUUGCAGUUUUAGUUAAAGGAGGGGAGGUGGAAACACAAUAACGUGAUAUCUUGGCCAGAAAAAAAAACCAGUAACUUGAUAAGAGAAACACCGCCAGUACAAAGUCCACCAUAGUAAUGUAGAUCAUCCCUGUUGUUACCAUACCAUGUAAAUGCUUUUCUUAUUCGAUCUGGAAGUCUGCAUGCCUUCUGGAUUUAAGAGCCCUAGAGAUCGUGAAAAUUUCCAACUCAAAUGAAUUCAUAAAUCAAAAUUAAGUUGUUUACAUGGCAUAAUCAUAUACAAUGUUUACUUUGUUGACAUCCAUUUCCCCUAUUGUGUUUGAAAGUUUACCUGUGGCUCCACAUUAGAACUAUAAAGACAGCCUACUUAACAAUUUAAGCUUACUUGUUUGCAGUGAACAUUGCUCCUUUUAUCAUUCCUGUGCAGAAAAAAGAUCCGACUCCCCAUGCUUGAUGUUCUUCCUUCAAGCAACUGAUGAUUUGGAGACCACUACCACUUUGCAAUACUAUGCGGACUUGAUUUGCCCUGUUCUUUUAGAAACAAUAAUAAAAGGUAGCUUUAGAGUUAUAUGUAAAGAGUGCAAAACUAAUUUAAUAUUUGAGUUCCCUUUGUUUCCAAUGGAUGUUGCUCUUUUCAUUUGUUUUGCAACUCACAUAUAUAACAGAAAUGUUCCUAGCUAUUAUAUGCAAUUUGUAUGUUAUGAUUAUGGCUGUUUGUUCACAGUCUCUCUCUCUCUCUCUCUCUCUCUCUCUCUCCCCACUUCUGUGUUGUACGUAUCCCCUUUUUAUUAAAGUUGCUGUCGAAGGUUUAUCUUUAGUUUUUUCUCAGAAGUGGACUCCUUAUUUACCAUCUUUCUACUCUUUUCUUUUUAAAGAAAAAUUUAGUUUCUUAUUAAAAAUAUAAAAAAAAGUAUUGGAAAGUCUUAGUACUGAUUAUUGGAAAGUCUAGCUUGUCAGUUGUUGUAUGGGUUGGAAUUUAAAUUAGGAGAGACUUAAUGAAGCUGAAAUAGGGGAGUUUUCCUCUCUUUAUUUAUUUGAUUGAAAAUCCUUCAUUGUGUCCGGACCAGGGUGAUAGAAGGGCUUGGAAAUUUGAAUAUUCUAAAUCCUUUUUAUUUUUCUUGCAACUCCUGUCUUUACCUUUUUUCAACCGAUCCCAAUUGAUAUGAAAGACUAAGGGCCCUAGUAAAUCCUUGUUUGGUUAGGUGCUCAUGGGAUGGUCGUUACUUGUGACAAUAUCCAACUUAAGAGGCCAAAUAUGUGCCUAUCAGCCGAUUGGUGUUAAAUGUGCAUGAAUGCAGAACAUAUUGACCAUCUAUUUCUAGAUUGAGUUCAUGUAUAGUCAUUAGUUGAAAAUGUGGCUUUAGGGAAAAGCAGGAAGGCUAAAUCUUAGGGGCGGAGGAGUGGUCUUAAUGGAUAGGGUGGUGUUUUGGACAAUUUGGGCAUCAGUAGUUGCUGAGUUUAGAGAUAUUCGUUUCAUUGUCCUUAAUUUAGUUCGGGUUGCUGCAGUUAGCUGAUCUUUAGAGUUUUGGCGCUGGUGAUCGAAGCAUUUUUUUUAUAUAUUUUGUGUUAUUGUUGCUUUGUCUAAAUGGUGUACUUCUUGUUUAAUGCUGGACAAUAUUUUGUAACUUUUCUUUUAGUAAUGCCUUCAUUUUUAUAAAAGCUUUUUAAUUUGGUUCUCAUAUGAAUCAUGUCUUUCUAAUGGACAGGUGACCCUCGUAUUGGCUCAGCCAAUAUCAUUUGGAUUGAUCCAGAUACAACAACUUGGAUUAGAAGCCCAAACAAAUCUCACAAGGGUGAAUGAGCCUUGGAUGUUGUUCUGGAGAAAUCAGUCAUCAAGCAAAGUGGUGAUGCAUGGAGAACAGUGCUCGAUUCUUGCCUUCCAGUGCUUCACCUAAUUGACACCAGACGUUCCAUCCCGUAUGCCAUCAAACAAAUUCAAGAAUUGUUGGGGGUGUCUUGUGCUUUUGAUCAAGCAGUUCAGGUACUGUCAUACAGGCUCACAGUUUAGUUGUUUCUAGUAGAGGUGGUAAUAAGGUUGGGGGAUAUCAUGAUUUGGUGGUGUCAUAUGGCAACAUAACCUAAAAAAUAUAGUUUUUUGAGCUGUAUGACUUGAUUCAAAUUUUAUAUUAGUCGUUGUACGUUUGGGUAGAGACAGAGUAAACUGUAAUUUAACUCUAGGAAUUUCUUUAUUUCAAAGCCAUAUCCAUUACUCGAUCCAUCUUCUGUCAAAUGAAAAUGCACUCCAUCCAUGUGUUAGAAGGCCUAAGAAAGAAGAAACAAAUUUUCUGAUUCUAGAAAGAUUCAUACCAUACCAAUCAAGAAGUAAACAGAAAAAAGUCUGAAAUUUUCUCAUGCAAAUGUUGAACAGUCUGUUUUGUCAAAAUCUGGUGUUUCUGGUGUUUAGUCUAAUAUGUUCCAACUUAGUCUAUCCAAUUUUCCAAUUUACAAAUGGAUCAACCUUUUUAUCGUUCUUGUUACCAAGUAGGGUAAAUUCAAGUAAUAGUGACAUUUUUGUGUUGGGAUGAUAUUCUGUUGCUGCAUUGCUUAGAAAAUUAUCAGUCUUGGUUUCCAGUAGCUUCUAUUAUAUCCGUGUAAUACGCUUCUCUCCCGUUGGAGUGUUUGACUUUCUGGACAUCUCAUUCUUCAUACAAUUUAAUUCUUCACUACCCUUUCUUUCUAGUGGGAGUGCUUUAGCGCAUCAGUUGUGUUUAAAAUUGUAUGUUUCAUAUGCUUAUUAGAGGGAUUCAAAUGACUAAUCUUCAUUAGCUGUGGACCUCCUUUUAAAAUUUCGAUCUUUGCGUAAUUGUGUGGCUGUAUUUCUGGUUCCCUCUGGCAUGCUACCGUACAUCUUAUGAAAUUUAACUUUUCUAGUUGUCAAUGAAAAUUGGAACAUAUUAGACUAAGUUUCUGGGUGAUAUGAGAUACUUAUUCUACUUUUCAAUUAAGAAUACAUUUUAUGAUUGAUUACGCAGCGCCUCUCAACGGCAGUGACAAUGAUGGCAAAAGGUGUUCUGAAAGAGCAUCUUAUCCUCCUGGCAAAUAGCAUGACAUGUGCAGGAAAUUUCGUGGGAUUCAAUUCGAAUGGGUACAAAGCACUAUCUCGGGCAUUGAAUAUUCAAGUACCAUUUACGGAAGCAACACUGUUUGUAAGUAAUUGAAAUUUUUGUCUAAUUCUGUGAAAGGGCAUUUACUUAUAGUUACUGGUUAAGAUGAAUUACAAUCACAACUGAUUUCAGUACUCACAUGUGGUUGUAGACACCAAGAAAGUGUUUUGAGAGAGCAGCUGAAAAGUGCCACAUGGAUUCGUUGGCGAGCAUAGUUGCAUCAUGUUCCUGGGGUAAACAUGUUGCUGUGGGUACUGGCGCGAGGUUUGAUGUCCUGUGGGACACAAGAGAGGUAUUUCAUAAUUUUUAAUGCACUUGUGAAUUCUCAGUCGUAUUAAAUUUAGUCUUAUCUGCUGCUAAUGUUUCGCACCAUUUAAAUCUUAAUUUUUUUCUAGGUAGAAUUGACUCAAGAGGGUGGACUUGAUGUUUUCAACUUUCUGCAUAUGGUGAGCACUGCAAACGUAGAAGAAGCAACUACAGGAGCUCUCGGUGCUGAAGUUGAUGAUCUAAUGCUAGUUGAUGAAAUGGCAGAUUCAAGCUUCUCGCCAGAACUCAACUCCAGUUUUGAUAGGCCCGUCUUCGAAGAUCUUGUUGAAUUUGAUGAUAAAUUAGGAGAUCUUCCCGAAAAAUCAAACUGGGAAAAGGAUUCCUCCUUCCACACCGAUUCUAAUGGGGGGAAAGACUGGAGCGUCGACAAAAAUGUGGGAACUGUGGCAGUACCUGACGUUUGGUCAAGCUGGGGUACAGAUAAAGGGUAAACACAAGAUAGCAACUCAGCAGAAGCCCAGUUGGAUUCCAAGAAAUCCAGUGUUUUGGAUACCUCGUCUGCGUGGGGGAAAAACCCAGCAAAAGAAAAUACGACAUCUACAUGGGGGACAACUACGGCAAGUGAAAAUGAUUGGUGUGGUAGAGGGGUAGGUGAGGAUGAUUUUGUAAGCUUGUCUGGGAAGAAAUCUGGUGUUUUGAAUACCUCAUCUGCGUGGGCGACAAAUACUGCCAGAGAAGAUGCUGCAUCUGCCUGGGGAACAAAUCCAGCAAAAGAAAAUACCACAUCUACAUGGGGCACAACUACGGCAAGUGAAAAUGAUUGGUGUGGUAGAUGGGUAGGUCAGGAUGAUUCUGCAAGCUUGUCUGUGAAGAAAUCCAGUGUUUUGGAUACCUCGUCUGCGUGGGCGACAAAUACUGCCAGAGAAGAUGCUGCAUCUGCCUGCGGGAAACAGCCAGCAAAAGAAAAUGCCACAUCUACAUGGGGCACAACUUUGGCAAGUGAAAAUGAUUGGUGUGGUAGAGGAGUAGGUCAUGAUGAUUCUGCAAGCUUGUCUGGGAAGAAAUCCAGUGUUUUAAAUACCUCAUCUGUGUGGGCGACAAAUACUGCCAGAGAAGAUGCUACAUCUGCCUGGGGGGAAAAUCCAGCAAAAGAAAAUACCACAUCUACAUGGGGGACAACUACGGCAAGUGAAAAUGAUUGGUGUGGUAGAGAGGCAGGUAAAGUUGAACCAGUAGACUUCCAGCCUACAAAACCCCAGGAUGAUUCUGCAAGCUUGUCUGGGUGGGAUUCACCUACCGGAGAUGGGAAUUCUGGUGAACGAAAUCAUCAGUGGGGACAGCAUCGUGGAGACCAAACAAAGAAAAGUCGUUUUGAAGGUGCAAGGAAUUGGGUUUCAAGUCCUGGGGAAUGGAAGAAUAAGAACCGUCCUCCUAAGUCGCCUGGAAUGGUGAAUGACAAUUCUACCAUGGGUGCAUUAUAUACUGUAACAAGACCGAGAUUGGAUAUGUUCACUUCCGAGGAGCAUGUUCUUUCUAAUAUUGAGCCAGUUAUGCGCUCCCUCCGAAGGAUAAUGCAUCAAUCUGGGUAUGUUUUCUAUCUAUGUACUUUCUUAACAAUUCGGACCAGGCAGAUCAAAAUAAUGGAUACUUUUCAAUUUUCUAAAGGAGAAAUGAUUCUUAUAUAGGAAGACCAGAUGUUUUUUGUCUUGCUAAGUGUCUUAUAAGUAAGAGUCCAUUUGAAGUCAGGGGAAUACUUUUAGUUUAGAGUGACAAGAAACUAAUGAUUUGAAUAAUUAUUUAUUAGUGUGCAAUGUUCUUUUGGUGAUUUGGAUGGAAAGGAACGGUUUUGCUCAAAGCCAAAGUUGGGCAGUUUGUCGACUAUUUAUGAGAUAUGGCUAGACUUUGGGCCUCUCUAUGGGCUUCAGUCUCAUCUGUAUCAUGAUUGCCCAUUCUUUCUCUUAAAUUUGGAAAGGGAAGCAAGCUGCUAUAUCGUAGUUGCCCUGAUUGUACUUUGGGGCUUUUGCUCUGUUUUCUGCAUUGUUGGACGCUGUACUGUCAUACUUUUCUUUUGGUUUCUAUAAAUUGUAGGCUUUGUGCAGUGUAUUUUCUGGUCUUCUAGUCCACUUUGAUUGUACUUCCCAUUCAUAUUAAUUUGCAUGUUGAAGUCUGAAGUCUAUUUUUACAUAAAAUUAAUUAUAACAACUAUAAAAGAAAGACAUCUAAUAAAGUGAUGAAUUUUACAUAUUACAUUGGACUUUCCUUUGGAGAUGUCUUAGGGAUAUCAUAUCUUCACUGAUCUCCAUAUGAAACAAUUGAUUUCAUUUUUGGACAUUAUCCAGUCACUUUGCAUAUGUUAUAGCUUCGUGCCGUGUUGUGCAACUGUUUGAUAUUUCCUUCCUUUUUUGAAUAUUUUAAUUGUAGCAAUAUCUUUGCAUGGUGUUCGACAAUGCUGUAACUUAAUUUCUGGUUUUUAAAUUAUUUUAUGCAGGUACAAUGAUGGGGAUCCACUGUCAGGUGACGAUGAAUCGUUUGUACUUGAUAAUGUCUUCAAUUACCACCGGAUAAAGCAGCUAAAAUGGGUUGUGGAAUUGAUCAUCUCACAGUAUGUUCAUCUACCCUGUUCUUGCUUAACUACGUUUUAUUUGGAAUUAUAUUUCUGUACACAUUUGAUACAUUGGAUUAAGAAUCUGUGACUGAUGAUUUUAUUGUUAUACUGAUUAUUCUAAUAUUCAUUUUAUUUUUUAUGGAAGCUGGACAUUUAUACAGAUUUUCCUAGAUUGUCCAUUGAGUAUAAACUCCAGGUGUAUUGUUGCAUACCUAAAUUUGUUCUGGAGCUCAAUGGAAAUUUUGAAACCUUUUUUUAUGUCAAUAUUUAUCAUUAGCAAAGAGCUGUUGCACAUAGGGAGUUGAUUCAAAUGGGGUUUAGUCAGAAAAAAUCAUUUUCAUGUCUUUUGGUUUAGAUACUCACGCAUGGUACCAGGCUGCUAAGGUUGGUGAUCUAGUUCUUCAGAUAAGGGGAAUAAAUACUCGUCUUUAAACAUGAAUUAAGACUAUGGUUCAUUUGAAGGGGUUUUUAAGUCUGGGGACAAGUAGUGAUUGGGAAGAGGUUUUCUUUCUUAGUACUUGGAAAACAUAUCAAGGCUGGAAUGUCCGGUAUUGUUUACCUUUUUUGCAGGAACCACUGUCUUGUAAUAACUGCCAAUAUGUGUCUUAUUUUGUAAAAUAUUCCACUAAUUUACACCGCUAUUGGUAUGACAGGUUAAUAGGCAUGGUAGUUUCCAGGACAGCAGAUGCUUCUUUGUUGUGUCAACAGACAGUCGUACGGAAGAUUUUUCAUAUUGGAAUAUGUAAAAUAAUUAACUGCUGUCCUCGUCUUCUUACAGCUGCUGGAAACUCUUCAUCUUCCAACAGUUGUAUUGUCUUGGUACUGUAAAAGCCUUUAUUAAUUCUAACGACUGUAAAAGGCUUGCCUAUAUAUGCAGCCUGUUGUACUGAUAUCUAUAUGAUGAAUAAGAAUCUCAAACUCCACCGGGGAUGUAGGCUCAAAAUUGCCGAACCUCGGUAAACUUGUGGUGUUCUGUUUUCUUCUUUCUCUGAUUUCUACAUGUUAUCAGAGCAGGACCUUUGAAAAGUUCCCCAAUGUAGCCGAAACUUUCAUUGGCAAGUAUUUCUCUAGUAGAGGGAAUCGAGAGCGGAACCCAACUCUAAGUCAAACCUCCACUCCAGAGCAAACUGAGAAUGCGGAGACGCAGUAGAAAAUGUCUAUUUCCUGGGCAAGUGUCAUUUUGAGAUUCUCAUGUAAUUAGCUGUAAACAUUCUGCUCCUCUGUUUUUUGAUUUGUAUAUAUUAGGCAGUUGUUAGCAGCUCCUGACAAACUCAGUUUGUUUUCUUUUUUCUUUUUCUGGGUUUGAUCUUAGAGCAUUUUAGUUAACCUGUUGGUAACUACUGGAUGCUGUUAAACUAAACCCUUAAUUGGGAGAUAUUGCAGGUAAAAAAUCAAUUGUCGAUGAAAUGCAGAAGUGUUACCAAUAUCAUUCAUCAAUGGCUUCUAUUUCUUUAUUAAUCAUUUUGGUACUGAGACUUGCUGCCUCUCUGAUGACAGCUCAAUUAGGCCUUCAUCAUUGCUCAUGGUUCAUGGUUUUGGGUUUAUCUGUGAAGUGAUUAGCUGCUGCUUCUGUGUGCUGGAAGGGAAAUGUUUUGCUGAUUAGCAAAGCAGCUCUCAUACUGCCAAUCACACUUCUGAUUUGGAAAUUUUAUUUUUGUUUCUAUUUUUCUGAUAAGGAAUUGAUGAUACUGGGCCAUGAUAAAUAGCUGUGCAAAUGAACAUGAAGAACUUGGUUCAUUAUACAGAGUUAAAAAGAGUCUAAUGCACCCUAGUAAAUACUUGAGCUCAGGUUCAGAUAGAUUACAAAAGUGAGUUGAAUCCAAUCAAUCAUUUCUUGAACAAUCAGUACAAGAAAUACUCACAUUAGAUUAGUCAUAGGCCAAUAUCUACCAUUAGUUUCAUUAAAAUGAAGGAAACCCUUACAAUUUCAUGCAUAUUGGUUGUCAAUCUUCAAUUCACUUGGUAUAUCUUAAAAAAUAUUUGCAGGAAAGUUAUUGAUGUCUAUAUUUAUUCCUGCGCAAAUCACUGUUUGCAGGAGUAUAGGUAAAAUUGUAGAUUUUGACAAUAUUAUUAUUUAUUUCUUUAACAUUUUAUUUAAUUGGUGCAUGACAAAUCGAAUUCUUAUUUGUGGUUUUUCCUUAAUUUCAAUUUGUCCAUGUAGUUUCAAUUAAGUCGUAGUUUUGUUGCUUGUUUCAAUUAAGUCCCUUAUACGUGCACUGCAUGUGCCAUAUUAUUAAACAUUGUAUAUUUAAGGGCAAGGUCGUCAUUUAAUGUGAAAUAAUUUCGUCUUUUUCUUCUUGUUAGGACUUGUAGUUUGCCUAUUAAAAAUAAAAAUGAAAAAUGAUUGCAAGUGGCUUGUAAUUCAAGUGGUUAAAAGUAUUUAUCUCUUCACUUGAGGUCUUAGGUUCAAUUCCCUCCUCUAUCAAUAUCGCUUGUAAAAAAAUUAAAAAUUAAAAAGGUUAACGAUGCACAUGCAACAUAUAUUGUUUAAAGUGCUAUAGAGGUUCGAAUAUAAGACCAUAGGUUUGCAAGUCAAUGUCAUUUUUCACUAGGCUAUAUGUUGCAUGGACACUCAAGAUACUCUCCAAACACGGAUCAACUCAUACUUAAGAUCAGUUAAUGUGUUAAUUCAAUUAUAAUUCAUAAGAAAUUAAUAAACUACAUUUGAAAGACUUGGAAAGCUUGAACUUCACUAUAUAUAAUUGUGAAAUUGAAGUAUUAACAUCAAUAUUUUGUUUUUCAAUUAAAUAAUUAUUUUUUAUUGUCGUGUUCUAGUUUUUUGAGAUUUUUCGUUUUCCCGUAUCCCUAUAUUCCCGUGUCACAUAUCCGUGUCGCCGUGCUGGUGUCCCUACAACACCUAUACUCCUUUGGCUUUAGCUCAGGAUUUUAUUUCUAACAAAAUUUAACAAUAAAUACCUGAUUGAAAAUAUUAUGCGACGACUAUGCUGCUAGUUUUUUGGAUGAGAAAUUUCCACUCUUAUUAGGGGAAGAUCCGCUCUUUUAGCCCACUUUUUUAGACAUCUAUUAGACUGUAGGGCACCAAUGGAGUGGUUUAACACUUAGUAAAUUUAGGUUUGUAAAUUUAGGUUUUAGUCACAAAACCAAAAUUCUGGAAAAAUAUAAAAUUAAAACCAAAAUCCAAUUUUCCUUGAAAAAUAUAAAACUAGGGAUGUGAUUUCCCCACUUCCUUUUUCUCCACUUACAGUCCCCUUUGCUUUUUAAUACUUUUUAAUCAAUUUUGUUAUUUCUCUUUUCUAUUCUACCCUUGCCCUACAUUAAUUUCUUUUUACUUCACUUUUAAUUAGUUCUAAUUAAGUGUAAAGAAAAAGAACUAAUAUAAAAGUGAAGUAAAAAGAAAUUAAUGUAUGGCAAUGGUAGAAUAGGAAAGAGAAAGAACAAAAUUGAUUAAAAAGUAUUAAAAAGCAAGAAAGAGUGUAAGUGAAAAAAAGAGAGUGGGAAAAUCAAAUCCCUAAAACUAAAACCAAAAUCCAAUUUUCCUCAAUAAAAAAAACCCCCAUUAUCCAUUUCUUUUUCUCGUGAAGCAAAUACAAUAAUAUAUUAUCAGUCACCCCCGUCUUGAUGUUUUACUGCUUUAAAGUACUUUGAGUCUGAUUGAUCCACAAGAUCAGCUACCAGUCCACUGAUAUGUGGUGGAAGUGAUCGGUUUACUACUAAGAAUCAGCCAUGGCUUCUUCUUUACCGGGUCAACUCGUUUUUCUCUUAGAGAAUGGACAUCAUGUGUGGGAGGACCAAUCUCUCAUCAAGUGGAGGAAGAGAGAUGCACAUGUCCCUUUACGUUGCCAUGAUUCAAUUGAAGGUGAGGAACUAAAACCAUUCCAAUUUCAGUUUCGUAUUUGGAUUAAGAGUGUUUUCAUGUUGCUGGAAGUUUUGCUUUGUUUCACGUUGUCUUGUUAAAUUUUGGUUAAUGGAGUUUUUUGUUGCUGGAAUUUUGUAAAUGUUUGGGAUAUAACUGUUAAGUCUGUUUGAUUCAGAAUCACAUUCAAUCUUCAGAUGAAGAGUUCUAUGAAGUGGGUUUAUGAUCGUGAAUAAGGGGAUUUCAUGUGAUAAAAAUAAUAUGAAGUACUCAUGUAAUGCUAGUAUAUUAUAAAUGCAUUUAGCUAUUUUCUUUAUUAUAAAUUUCAGGUUCUACAUGCAAUAUUUAUUGGAAAUGAUUUAGCCAUGUCAUUUAGAUGUUUCGACUUUGCAAAUUAUACAAACACACAUUGAGUAUGUAUAAUAAUUAUGUAUAAGCAAGCUCAUCGAUUGGCCUGACACAUUUUGAAUUUUUGUUGGAGUUUUGUUGCAUUGGUUUUUGGUAAAAAAUCAUUUUCUCAAAUAUGAAGAGUGAAUAGGGAAACAUGGUAUGCAGUUGUGAAUAUGUGUAGAAUCUGACAUUGUUCAGAAACUGCAUCAUGGUAUGGUAUAUGAGCUUGAGCUUGACGUUGCAUCUUGCCAUCAAGAUGAGCUUUUGGUAUAGGAACAUGGGACAGGAAUCUUGUACCUAUUCCCAAGCCUUGAAAUCACGAAACAUGGUCUACGUUAUAGGCACAUAGAGGGAUUCUAAUUGGUAUAAUGGUUUGGGUCCAUGAUGCAGAACCCCCCCUCUCUAAGUUCUGUGUGUUAUUUUAUCUUAUCAUUGGCUUGGAAUCUUACUUCUUUUCUAUUUCUUUUAGAAGAUAUCUGAUGUUCGUUAUGUGAUGUAGGAUCUCUUAAAUACUGGUAUGAGCGCAACAAAGUGAAUUUUCUGGUAUCCAACUCUGCUGUUUGGGAUGAUGAUGCUGUUCCUGGAGCUCUUGAUAGCGCAGCCCUUUGGGUCAAGGACUUGCCUUUUGUGAAGUCUUUGUCAGGCUAUUGGAAAUUCUUCUUGGCUUCGAGUCCUAGAAAUGUUCCUGUAAAUUUUUAUGACACUGCAUUUCAGGAUUCUGAGUGGGAAACCUUACCAGGUAAGCAUAUAUGUAUCUUUCACUUUUUCUUGCCUUAAAAUCUGACAAUCUACACAUAUAUUUGGUAUGCUGUGUUAGAAUAUAGCAGUGAUAGUUGUUUCAUAAAAUCAUUAAUGAAAUUUGUUUCAUUGCAAAAUAUGUAUCUAUUCCUGCAUGCCAGAAACUUAUUGCAUCGUUUUACUUCAACUACGAGUUUUCUCUGCGCUGUUUCUUUAUAUAUUCUUAUUUGCAACAGUGUAGUAUUGCAUUCGAGGUAAUUUUAUGGCUAAGUGAGAGAAUUUUGAAGGCAUGUUUAGUAACGUGUAUGAAAUGUUUGGGUUAUAAUGAGGGGAAUUUUUUAUUUUUUAUUUUUAGUUUUUUCUGUAUUUCAGUUAGCUUAUGUAAGUGUCAGCUUCACAUGAGAGUUGGGGUCCAAUCUUAACUUAGCUUCAAGGAAAGGAAAGGAAAAACUUCCAUUUUAUUGCUUGUUGGCUACUGGUUUUUCUCAUAGCGGAUUUUCGCUAUCAUAAAUCGGCCUUUCAUUUUACUAUUCGUUUUCUUUAAAGAGAGACACACAUAUGCGUUAGCGAAACUGUUCAGUAAGUGCCACGCACAAAUAAGUCAGUUCUUUCCAGAUAAUAAAUUGUGCUUUGAACUAUAGGCGCUAACUGAAGCUUGUAUGAUUGUGAAAAUUCUUUUCUAAGUGCUUGUACUAUGAUUUCAUGAUUCCAUAUUUAUUUUAUUUUAUUUUCCUCCAAAAUAGACAAUUUAAGAAUACUUUGAUAACCUUAUUCCUUGUAGUGUUUUGAGCUUUAGCAAUAGCAUAUCGAACAAAUUUAUGAAUGAUUUAUGUUAUAAAUUUAUCAUGAUUUUUCAUAUCUAACACAUGCAAUUAUUAUCCAACAACCGUGUCUCAUUAUUUUGUGUUCUCUCAUGGAACAGUUCCUUCAAACUGGCAGAUGCAUGGAUUUGAUCGGCCUAUUUAUACAAACGUUGUUUAUCCAUUUCCACUUGAUCCACCUUUUGUUCCUGUGGACAACCCUACUGGCUGCUAUAGGACAUACUUUCACAUUCCUAAAGAAUGGAAGGGUAUGAUCCAUUUGAUUGCCUUGCUGAUUGUAGCUGAUUACUAUUUAUUGGUGCUUUUUUAUUCUUUUGUUUUUAUUUUUCUUUGUUGUUCCCUUUUACAUUAUGCUUACUGAUCAGUAUUCUAUCAAACCUGUGCUACUUAUAUCUUGUAUGCAUCGAAGUAAGUUUUAUUUUCCACUUUGUAAUGUAGCCAUUUUGAAAUGUAAUAUAUAGAGCAAUAUGACCUGAAUUUGUGUUAAUGAUUUGAAAUGUGACUAAUAGAAGUAUUGCCUCACAGAUUGGAUUUUCUGCUGUAUGUACAUAUGAAUGCAUGCAUGCACCUAUAUUACAGUCACAGACACACACACACAAAAAUGACAUUUCCAUGACAUCCCUCAACUCUGUUGAUCAUUCUUUCUGUGGGCAAAUUUAUAUGACAUGUUUACCAUUUGACAGGUCGCAGGAUUUUGUUGCAUUUUGAAG
rnacentral:lncRNA from 1 species